UGAGGAACUUGUCCCGGUCUCUGGGAUAACAGUUGGAAACGACUGCUAAUACCGGAUGACGUCGGAACUUCGCAUGGAGUACUGACGAAAGGGUUACUGGAUCGGGAGAGCCUCGCGGCCUAUCAGCUUGUUGGUGGGGUAAUGGCCUACCAAGGCAUCGACGGGUAGCUGGU
rnacentral:rRNA from 1 species